rnacentral:lncRNA from 1 species
CAGGCGCGGACGCUUGUGCCGGAAGUAAACUUGUUAACGGUUCUUUGCCUUUUGGGGAGGGGAGACAGCCCAGAGAAGGCUUUGGAGACCCUUGAGUCGGCCAGCGAGCAGGGUUUCUUACUUGAGCGCCUCCACAAAUAAACGCUCCUUCGCUCCUCCGUCGCGUGCGUUUCCCUGGGAUAAUAAGUGGGAAAGUGGUGGCUUUUAUUUUUUUGAGACAGGGUCUCACCGCCGUCGCCCAGGCCGGAUGGAGUGCAGUGGCGCGAUCACGGCUCACUGCAGCCUCGACUUCCCAGGCUCAGAGAUGGGUUUCACCAUGUUUCCCAGCCUUGUCUCAAACUCCUGACCUCAAGUGAUCCGCCGUCUUGGGUCUUCGAAAGUGCUGGGACAGCAGGAGUGAGCCACCGCAUCUGGCCCGGAAAGUGUUUUGGAGCGUAGAAAAAUGCAAAUUAUAGGGCUGCCUUCAAGGAUCCCGAAGGACCCACAGAUUUGCCGCAUCAGGCUCCUAUGCACGCCGAAAUGCCCAGGAGGAUUGACGAGAUUGAGGUCAAGAUCGUGGCCCAGUGUGUGGCGCUCCAAGCCAGCUCUUCCCCUUUCAAAACCAGAAAAGCCGCAUGUUUAGAUCGCUCUAGGAGAUUCAUCUCCAUUACGAUACAGGAUAUGGGCUGUUUGAAAACUAUUUCAUCAUCUUUAUCAUCAUCAUUCAGUUCAGCCACUUGAGAUUUUCGCCUCUCCAAAAAUGUUGGUGUACAAACUGGUGUGGGGCCCUGGAUUCAACAAGUAAAGAUUAUAAUACAUAAAUGUAAAACAUGAUUAUGACUUUACCCAAAAAUAUCAUCUCUCCUCUAUUUUUACAAGUUGUGCCCCAUUAUUUUAGCUCUGUUACCAUCUUUUGGUGAUACUAUUGCAAAGAAUAAAGAACUUAGAUGCUUAUCAAACUUGGUACAGAAAUUCACAAUUAACAAAUAUAGCAUGUUCCAUUAUAAGGUUUUAGGCAGAAAAUUGCUAAAUCAACAAUAAAGAUCUACCAAAUGUCACAAUAUUUAAUUUGAAAUCUUAAAAUGAGAGUAGCAGAAACUGCUUCUCCUCCUUCAAAUUAUUUCUAUAAUAUCUGGUGUCUGGAGUAUUGAAAACCAUUUUACCUGGCUAUCCACAGUCUUCUCAGGAGUGUCAAGAGUACCUGAAACUUUUUUCUUCUUCUUACGUAAAACCUUAAAAUAAAUUUUAAAACACAUCAAUUUGAAUAUUGAUCAGCUACAGUAGUCUUGAAUAUGUUUUCCUACUUAUCCUUCUCUAAUAUCUUGCAUGUAAAAUGAUAAAAAAAAUUUUACCUGGCCUUUUGUAGACGUCUGACGAUUAGUUUUUGAAAUACUUUCCGUUUUCUGUAAAAUCUUUAAUAAAGAAGUUAGAAAUUGACA